AUUGAACGCUGGCGGCAGGCCUAACACAUGCAAGUCGAACGAGUGGCGGACGGGUGAGUAAUGUCUGGGAAACUGCCUGAUGGAGGGGGAUAACUACUGGAAACGGUAGCUAAUACCGCAUACCAUCGGAUGUGCCCAGAGGGGAUUAGCUAGUAGGUGGGGUAAAGGCUCACCUCGGCGACGGUCCAUAGCUGGUCUGAGAGGAUGACGAGCAACACGGGAACUGAGACACGGUGCAGACUCCUACGGUAGGCAGCAGUGGGGAAUAUUGCACAAUGGGCGCAUGCCUGAUGCAGCCAUGCCGCGUGUAUGAAGAAGGCCUUCGGGUUGUAAAGUACUUUCAGCGGGGAGGUGUUACCCGCAGAAGAAGCACCGGCUAACUCCGUGCCAGCAGCCGCGGUAAUUC
rnacentral:rRNA from 1 species